rfam:Vibrio aerogenes CECT 7868 genome assembly, contig: 0026
UCCGGUCCUCUAUUAUCGUUCCUUGCUUCCUCUGGCUGACCGGACCAACUGUGGAAGCUGAAUAAUCCGUAAGGAGCAACCAAUG